CAAAGACAGACAGCACAGACUGGGGCUAAUAAACACAGGGAAAUCAGGGGAAGACAGGUGCAUGGAAUGACUAAUUAAUGGGGACACGGAACACAUGGGGAGGAAAAACACAGCAAAACCAAUCCAGGGGCGUGACAGUAGGCAUGGUUCAGCUUCCUCCACUGAAAAAACAAUGUAUGGAGAAAGACUCCACAGCCUCUUCAAGUUUUCAGCACACUAUGAAGAGGCUGUGCCCAUGGACCACUAGAGAUUCAGACAAUGGAGAUGUGGUUCAGCCUCCUCUACAUAAGAAACGAUGUGUGAGAAAAGCCCCAGAACCUCUGAAAGUUACACUUUGAAGGCCAGUAUCUAAAGAGCACACCUGUGAAGGAUGUGCAUGUCAGUGAUGUCAAGUCAAGUCAAGUUUAUUUG